GGGGGUAGGCUGCUGGGGGACGAGCCGGGGCUCAUCUACCGGGGUGAAGUUCUCUCAUCUGUCACAACAAUCAGAACUAGUUGAGCUACAAGAUAAAAAAAUGCCAUCGAAAAAAGAUCCGACAUGGCUCCCAAGUGGCAUCGAUGGAUUAGAUGAUGAGCUGGAAAAAUUAGGAAAUGAUGAAGAUACGGAUUAUUCCGCGGCAGUGUUAGACUCCGAUUGUGGAGAAGAGGUCCAAAGCUCUGAACAAUCCGAAGCAGAGCAGGAGAUUUUAUGCAUUUCAUGUUGAUGUUGAUUCAUGUUUGAUCUCAAUUGAACUGUUACGUACCUCAACAAUUUAAAGAGUGGAAGUCUAAUGAAAAUAUAAGCCAAAGAAAGUAUUAGGAGUUCAGAUGCCAAUUAAAUCAUUGGCAGAGUGCUAUACGUCUAAAAGACUAAAAUAAGUCGACAAUAGAAAGAGAAUUGAAGAUAAAUAAUUCCACCGUUUUAAGAAUAAUAAAAGUGUUAAAGUGCUUAAAAUCGGCCAUAAUAGACGGUAUUCACUUAAGCACUUUAAUAAUUUUAAUCACGGUCGUAAUCAACGAAGUAAAAUAAUAAAAGUGGUAAAUUAUAAUGACCGUUUAGAUGAAAAUGGAAUUCAGAAGUACUUGGAGUGGAAUACUUGUUGAUAAAGAUUUGAUAUUCGUAUUUUAAAAGAAAACAUGUAAAAAUGAUCCCUAUCAUUCUCGACUAUGUUUUUUCCAGUCAAUAUUACGACUGAAGGAAAUGUACCAUCACAUGGAAAUUAUGAAAAUAAGGAAAAGAUUUAAGAAAAGUGAUAAUAAUGAUAGGUUCGUAUAUUUUGUGUGUGCAAGUUACCGUCGUUUUCGUGGGCACACUGUUACGUAAAGAAAUUAUCGUCAACGUGUUCUUUUUCUUUACUUCGAAAUUUGCCACUAACACAGUUGUUUAAAUUAAAUAAAAACUUGGAAAUAUAAAAAAGAUUUUGAAAAAACUAAUAAUAAUUUUAGGAUUUCUGUUGU